rnacentral:lncRNA from 1 species
GUUUCUGAAGCAUAGGAGGCACCAGUAACCAAAGGGCUACAUAAAUGUGCUGAGCAUUUUACGCUUCAAAGUACUUUUCAACAGUUCAGUGGAACGCAGCUUACGAGCUGCAUGCGACAAAGGCGGACCAGAUUAUGUACACGGACAGGUUCUUGAGAUAUGCCUAUUUACAGGAGGCAGUCACGAUGAGGCAAUUCCAGGUGCUUAGAACAGCCCGAAGGUGUUCUCGCCGCUGUAGGUCAUGUAGAGGAAGCCGUCCGCGUCCUUGUUCUCCUCGUAGAUGGCAGACAUCAGAGCGGCUGGAAGACCAAAGUGACAAUUAUGUUUAGGGACAGGG